AACGCAGAGAUUGUGUGUAUCGGAGUUGUGCUUUUAAUUCAAUGCACUUAUAACCGAAAGAGUUCUCUGCAACAUUGACUUGGGGAAGGUGGGCAGUUGAUUUUCAACUCAUCCAUUGAUUUAUCAACAAUCAUUUUCCCCACAUCU
rnacentral:snoRNA from 1 species